rfam:Parcubacteria bacterium GW2011_GWA2_47_7 TY04_C0003, whole genome shotgun sequence.
GCGCGAUUAGCUCAGUUGGUAGAGCAGCGCUUUUACACAGCGAAGGUCGCAGGUUCGAAUCCUGCAUCGCGCA